CGCGUAGGCGGAACAUACAGUCAGAUGUGAAAUUCCCGGGCUCAACCUGGGGGCUGCAUUUGAUACGUGUGAUCUUGAGUGAGGAAGAGGGUCGUGGAAUUCCCAGUGUAGAGGUGAAAUUCGUAGAUAUUGGGAAGAACACCGGUGGCGAAGGCGGCGACCUGGUCCUUUACUGACGCUGAGACGCGAAAGCGUGGGGAGCAAACA
rnacentral:rRNA from 1 species